rnacentral:rRNA from 1 species
UACGGAGGGUGCGAGCGUUAAUCGGAAUUACUGGGCGUAAAGCGUGCGCAGGCGGUUUCGUAAGUCUGUCGUGAAAUCCCCGGGCUUAACCUGGGAAUGGCGAUGGAGACUGCGAGGCUAGAGUUUGGCAGAGGGGGGUAGAAUUCCACGUGUAGCAGUGAAAUGCGUAGAGAUGUGGAGGAACACCGAUGGCGAAGGCAGCCCCCUGGGUCAAAACUGACGCUCAUGCACGAAAGCGUGGGGAGCAAACAGG